rnacentral:lncRNA from 1 species
AGAAAAAAAGCAUAAACCCUUUACCCACAACAUGUUUUAACAAUCAAUAAACUGAAAAUUAACUCUAAAAAAUUAAAAAAUAAAAGGAAAACAAAGCAUUAGCCCUAAAUGCAUGGAGAAGAAUAAUCAUUUUAUAAGUUCACACCAUUCAACUCGAACAAGAGAAACGCUACGGAUAUCUUGAUGUGCCUCCUCUAAGUGUUGCGCAAUUGAGCAGAAGAUGGAUCAAGAGGGAUUGAGACAAAAUGAAGAUUGUGCAGAUUGAAGAAGAAGACAAAGAUGAAGACGACGACGACGACAACAAGGGAAGAAACGAAAUCAAGAAGAUGACAAUGAUAAGGGGAGCAACGAAAUCAAGAAGAAGAAGAUUAGAAUCAAUAGAGGGUGCUGAAGACUCAUCCAGAAUGAGAAGAGAGGGGGAGAGAGGAAUGAGGAAAAUGGAAGCGGCUAAAACAG